rnacentral:tRNA from 1 species
GACGGUAUAGCUCAGUGGUAGAGUGCAUGCCUAGUAUGCAGGAGGUCCUGGGUUCAAGCCCCGGUACCUUCG